rnacentral:rRNA from 1 species
AUUGAACGCUGGCGGCAUGCCUUACACAUGCAAGUCGAACGGCAGCACGGGAGCAAUCCUGGUGGCGAGUGGCGAACGGGUGAGUAAAGUAUCGGAACGUGCCCAGUCGUGGGGGAUAACGUAGCGAAAGUUACGCUAAUACCGCAUACGAUCUAUGGAUGAAAGCGGGGGAUCGCAAGACCUCGCGCGAUUGGAGCGGCCGAUAUCAGAUUAGGUAGUUGGUGGGGUAAAGGCUCACCAAGCCGACGAUCUGUAGCUGGUCUGAGAGGACGACCAGCCACACUGGGACUGAGACACGGCCCAGACUCCUACGGGAGGCAGCAGUGGGGAAUUUUGGACAAUGGGCGAAAGCCUGAUCCAGCCAUGCCGCGUGCAGGGUGAAGGCCUUCGGGUUGUAAACUGCUUUUGUUCGGAACGAAAAGGUUUGGCCUAAUAAGCUGAGCUCAUGACGGUACCGUAAGAAUAAGCACCGGCUAACUACGUGCCAGCAGCCGCAGUAAUAC